GUCGACGAUGACCACUUCGGUGGGGAUUAGUGGCGAACGGGUGAGUAACACGUGGGCAAUCUGCCCUUCACUCUGGGACAAGCCCUGGAAACGGGGUCUAAUACCGGAUACCACUACCGCAGGCAUCUGUGGUGGUUGAAAGCUCCGGCGGUGAAGGAUGAGCCCGCGGCCUAUCAGCUUGUUGGUGAGGUAAUGGCUCACCAAGGCGACGACGGGUAGCCGGCCUGAGAGGGCGACCGGCCACACUGGGACUGAGACACGGCCCAGACUCCUACGGGAGGCAGCAGUGGGGAAUAUUGCACAAUGGGCGAAAGCCUGAUGCAGCGACGCCGCGUGAGGGAUGACGGCCUUCGGGUUGUAAACCUCUUUCAGCAGGGAAGAAGCGAAAGUGACGGUACCUGCAGAAGAAGCGCCGGCUAACUACGUGCCAGCAGCCGCGGUAAUACGUAGGGCGCAAGCGUUGUCCGGAAUUAUUGGGCGUAAAGAGCUCGUAGGCGGCUUGUCACGUCGGGUGUGAAAGCCCGGGGCUUAACCCCGGGUCUGCAUUCGAUACGGGCUAGCUAGAGUGUGGUAG
rnacentral:rRNA from 1 species